rnacentral:rRNA from 1 species
UACAGAGGUCUCAAGCGUUGUUCGGAUUCAUUGGGCGUAAAGGGUGCGCAGGCGGCGCGGUAAGUCGGGUGUGAAAUCUUGGAGCUUAACUCCGAAACUGCAUUCGAUACUGCCGUGCUUGAGGACUGGAGAGGAGACUGGAAUUUACGGUGUAGCGGUGAAAUGCGCAGAUAUCAGGAGGAACACCUAUUGCGAAGGCAGCUCGCUGGGACGUAACUGACGCUGAGACGCGAAAGCGUGGGGAGCAAACAGG